GAUGGUGUAGUUGGUUAUCACGCGCGCCUAACACGCGCGAGGUCCCGAGUUCGAUCCUCGGUUCGAGCA